AUUGAACGCUGGCGGCAGGCCUAACACAUGCAAGUCGAACGAGUGGCGGACGGGUGAGUAAUGUCUGGGAAACUGCCCGAUGGAGGGGGAUCACUACUGGAAACGGUAGCUAAUACCGCAUACCAUCGGAUGUGCCCAGGUGGGAUUAGCGAGUAGGUGGGGUAACGGCUCACCUAGCCGACGAUCCCUAGCUGGUCUGAGAGGAUGACCAGGCACACUGGAGCUGAGACACGGUCCAGACUCAGACGGGAGGCAGCAGUGGGGAAUAUUGCACAAUGGGCGCAAGCCUGAUACAGCCAUGACGCGUGUAUGAAGAAGGCAAUCGGGUUGUAAAGUACUUUCAGCGAGGAGGCGUUACUCGCAGAAGAAGCACCGGCUAAAUACGUGCCAGCAGCCGCGGUAAUAC
rnacentral:rRNA from 1 species